rnacentral:rRNA from 1 species
GACGAACGCUGGCGGCGUGCUUAACACAUGCGAGUCGAACGGAAAGUCCCUUCUUUUGUGGGGUGCUCGAGUGGCGAACGGGUGAGUAACACGUGAGUAACCUGCCCUUGACUUUGGGAUAACUUCAGGAAACUGGGGCUAAUACCGGAUAGGAGCUCCUGCUGCAUGGUGGGGGUUGGAAAGUUUCGGCGGUUGGGGAUGGACUCGCGUCUUAUCAGCUUGUUGGUGGGGUAGUGGCUUACCAAGGCUUUGACGGGUAGACGGCCUGAGAGGGUGACCGGCCACAGUGGGACUGAGAUACGGCCCAGACUCCUACGGGAGGCAGCAGUGGGGAAUAGUGCACAAGGGGCGGAAGCCUGAUGCAGACACGCCGCGUGCGGGAUGAGGGCCUUCGGGUUGUAAACCGCUUUCGCCUGUGACGAAGCGUGAGUGACGGUAAUGGGUAAAGAAGCACCGGCUAACUACGUG